CGCGCAGUCCGUCUCCCGCCGCCUGACGCCGCCGCUUUUGUCAGGCGGCGCGGGCGCGGGCGCGGGAGCAGGUGGCGAGCAGCAGCCCGCACCGCACCGCACCGCACCGCGCCGCGCAGCACCGAACCGCGCAGGCAGCGGCGAGUGGUCACACGCAAUGAAGUCCACGCACUGUAAUGCAUUUCUGGCCAGCUUUUCCAGGGGUCGAACCAGGGACUCUGUGGAGUUUAAACCCCUCAAAUGGAGUCGGCAGACUGCAAGAAAAAACAGGGGGAGAGAAAACACGCUGGAAUUUCAUUUAUGUCUCACAUGGGCGCCAAACUGUGAGAGUUUUCCAGCCCUUCAGGUGGAGUCAUCUCUGUUCCUCUCUGCUUACCCUCACCCCUUUGCUUUCUUCCAUUUCUACUAGUUGUAUAGCACGGUUAUGCUCUCCGGCCCGACUAAUUUAUUCUGAUUUUGAACAGAACAGUCUAGGUCCUUGUAAUCUACAGUGGCUGCGAGCUUUCCUUACCACUUGUCAUUUACUGCUUUGACAGUAUUUCAUAACAAAGGCUAUUAGAUACCUCCUCUUUUUCACUGCACAUAUUGGACAUACGUGGUACCCGGCACAGAAACUAUUACAGGGCAAUCCCAGGGCACACUUCCAUCAGAAAUCAAAAUCUGACAGGACAGUGACGACUAGCAGAUCUAGGGGGUUAACUUUUAACCAUAAGUUACCAGCAAUUAAAGUCCUGAUAUUAAUAUUUCAUUAAUGGCUCCUCCUAAGUAACUAAUUUGUUAUUCAACCAGCUAAAAGUGUCUAUAGCCUUGCCAGCAGACUUCAGACCAACCCGUGGUUCAAGAAUAAAUCUUUAAAAUAAUGGAUUACUUACAAGAGCUUUGAACUUCUACUGGGACAAUUCUCGUUGCAUUUAUUUCUCUCUAGGUUUGGAUGUGAAAAUUAUUAGUAGUUAUGUGUAUUUUCAGCAAAAAAGUAAAAUAGUAAAUUCCAUCAAACACUGACUACAGCUACUUUUUAUCAUAAAAUUUUACAAAUUCCCCACCAGUGAGCUCAUUAGUGUAAAUGAUAGAGCCUUAUCUCAGGUUUAAAGUCAGCAUUUUUCCUUAGCUACCGAACAGCCUGUUUUCUUUCGUGACAUGGUAAUGGAGGACUUUACUCCAGAGAGCAGGGGAAAUAUUCCUCUCUGUUCUUGCAGGGCAAUCAAGUAGGGCUGGCAAAAACCAAGCAGACUGAGUGGGAUUUCAGUGCUGUCGGUAUCCUUCUGCAAGCCUUUUGUAGAAGCAGCAGAGCCUUCGCAGGGGAGAGGAGUGCACGUUGCACCACAAGCCUUGCGUGAGGGGCAGAUGUCAAGGGACGACAGCGGAGGAAGGCUGUUUCUCCCUAUUCUCCCUCCCAAUCCUACCCUCCAAAAUCUUUGUGACAUACAAGCACUACAUGACGUACACAUUAGCAUCCCAGGGUAGCAUCAGUGUUGCUCAGCACACCCUGGUACCUCACCAGAGCUGGGAAGCUGCGGAGUCACGCUGGCAAUAGGCACAGACGGUGGAGGUCUCCUCACCUUCCAGGAGCACCUGCAGAGGUAAGAGGAAUGGGGUUGAGCUCUUAAAGACACUGGCGACUACAGAUAAAGGUAAUGCUUAAAAAUUUUCAGUUGAAAAUUAUGACUUCAGAUGACCUCAAUGGCAGAGAGAGGGGAAAGGGAGGGCAAAACCCUGAGUGCCAAAUAAAUUCUCGUGACUUACAACUAGCCUAGUAACUGUAGGGUAAUCCUGUGAGCCAGCAUGUGAACGCUGUUCCAUACCGCCUAUUGAACUUUGCUUUUUAUGUAUAGUGAUCUCUUGCAUUCAUCAGAGGACAGUAAAACAACUCUAACGAACACGGUCAAGGGCUAAAGCUGGACUGCUCAGAGUUUGGGUUAGCUGCUCAGAAAGGGGGAGGUCAUUGAUUGUGUCUGGUGUUCAUCUACUGCUUUCUGAAAUUGUAAUACAGCAAAUUUCCAUCUUCUGCACACUCCCAGUAUUUUAAAGAGUUGUUUGCGGCUCUGAAGGAGAGUCCCAUCCCCCAGUACUCCCGUUUGGCUCCCGGCAGCGCUGGGGAGCCCGCCUGGCAUCCGCACCCGCAGCUCCCAGGGGCCGAGCAGGUGCCCGGCGUGCCGGACCCCUGGCAGGGGCCAGCGGGCUCAAUGGCUCCGCUCCAACCUCGUCGUCAGGCAAGCGGCGAGGCAGUUUGCUUGAGUGACAGGAGAGGGAAAAUACGCUGGCUGCAGGCUGGAGAGCCUUUUCUGGUGAAACGCGAGCAGUGUCCAGCAGUGCAACAAACAAAACGACAAACAAGGGGAUGUGCACACCUAGAUUUUGUACGUUUGAGUUAAUAAAGGCUGGAGGAACAUUGCUGUUUGUGCCAUAAACUCAGCAAAGAUUUCUGCAGGAAACCUUCUGUCCCUAGAGUCAAGUGCAGUCUAGUUCAAAAAAAAAUCCUGAAAGGAAGUAAAAUACCAUAAUUUGGGGAGAAGAGAAUAUAUCUCGUAGGAAACAAAAUGUCUUCAAUUCACUAAUUGGAGUAAUGUUGUUUAAAUGCUAUUUAGACGUGAAACAGAGUGUCAUUAUUAAUUUGGCUUGGGUCAAGCAGCAUUUUCCCAUCUCUCAAUUCCAGAUUUUUGAUUCCGCAGAGGGCUGGGCCUGCGUUUCCCCGUGUGGGCAGGUCCCCCCCUGCGACAGCAUCCUUUGGAGUGCUGAUUCCCGGUAAAGCUCCAUCCAAAGCCUAUCAGGCUCAGAGUCCAUUUUUUCUUUCAUCUUCUCUCAACCUUGAAUUUACCUCACCAUCGGAUGUUUUAUGUCAUUUCUGGAACUGCAUUUGCACUACAAGACAGGACGUAUGCAAAAUCAUUUUACUGUGGCACAAACACAGGAAAGAUGAUUUGGAAGAAAGGCCAGAGGCCAGAGGUUCUGUUUCUAAUUCUUUCACUCAGCUGCUGCAGACUGUGGGAACUUCUGAGCCUGUCAGUCAAUCUCAGCCAGAAUAAAAAGCAUUGUAAAUCUGAAGAAUAAAUACGUGCCUGUAAGACUUCAUGGACGUUUUUGGUUGGGGAGCAGAAGGAAACAUAAAUUAGAGCUCUCGCUGAGCAAAGGAAAGGUGUAAAUCCUGCCCAGGACUCUUGUCUAGCAAUGAGAUCCCUUCUGGAGAUAAAACAGGCCCGCCUGAGAUAACCUCUGCCAGUGGCAGGGCAAAGAGGGAAAACCCUGAUGAGCCAAAAGUGUUUCCAAAGGCAAGAAGUAGCAAUCCCAUCCCUCCAGAGAGGUUGAGAGGCGGUAAAAGAAAAUAAGCAGAAUGGGGUAAGUCCAGCUCGUUAUUUGAAAAUUAUAGCCCAAUUUUUCCAUGUUUCUUCAAACCAAGUUCUGAGCCUAGCAAAAUUAUCCACCAUUAAUGACCAGGCCUGAGCUGGCUGUUGGGUAGCAGCCUGCAGCAGCAGACCCAGCGCUGCCCCGGGCGAGAGCUGUGCUGCCGGAGCCGAGCGCUCCUCCUUGCCCGGGCGGAAAGUCCCUUGCUUGUCUAUUACAGCAGGAAAUGUUUUGAAAUCUGAACAAUGCAAGAGAUCUGAGGGCAGACAGCACAGAUAAUGAAAAGAAAAAAGAACUAUUACUUGGAAAUGAUUGUUGCUUUGUCACUUUUCCUUAAUUUCCUCAGUAACUAGUAGAAACCGUUCCUUAGAAAAUAUUUAGGAAAUAACAUCCAUAACACCAUUUCCCUGCCUCAGUCUUAGCCAUUGUUUCCAUCCUUUUGCUUUUGAUGACAGGUGAGUUUCAAUUGUAGUCCUUUUUAUGAAUACUCAGUGUAUAAAUUAUGCAGAUUAAAGUCUCUAAUUUCAGAGUAAAUUUCAAAGAUUCUGCUCAUCCUGAGUUGUGCAACAACUGCAUAACACUUUUAUUUCAUUCUUCAAAGGCUUUAAGAUCAAAAUUUUUGUUUUAAAUAAUGCCCAUAAAAUCCCUACAUUCACCUACUAAAGCAGAAGCUGGAAGAAUUAAAUAACAAGGUUUAAUCUUCAGUUAAAUUUCUUAACUCAGAUAAACAAUACUGAUGUUUACAGUUUUCACACUGUAACAUGUAAUUUGAGAGGAAAACUGUUUUUUGUAGUUUUUAAUUGAAUAUGGUCCAUGUCUAGAACAAACUGACCAGGGGGCAGACCUUCAGCUGGUGCAAAGCAUUUUUGAAGUCGAUACAACAAAAGCAAUGUACAACAACAAAGAACUAAAGUAUCAUCAAGGCUCUGAUUCUGGAAAAAACUCUUUCUUGAUCCACACUGAAAUUGUGUGAGCUGCAUGUGGGGGACAAGGAUUCAGCUGUUUGGAUUUUUAGGCUCAGGCCUCAAGGUUGGGAAAUAAUUUCCUGUAUUGCCAUUUCCAUUUUCGAGCCUUCCCUGGCUGUUUGUUACCGAAUUCAUUGGCAUGUUCUCUGCAAUACGCAAUACAAUGAAGAAAACUUUCCUCAUUCUACGAAAAGGUUUUUGGAUUUCAAAUAAAUGCGUCAGACAUUGGGAUGAAGGAGAGCUCUCAAAAUCACAAAGUCUACACCAGAAUAGCAAAUACUUCCCCAGUACAUAGAAGACCAGCUUUCCAUGGAGACUUAGUUUAUAUGAAAUAAACCAGCUCGACCAUGAGCAAUUGAACAAGGCUCUGUAGUAGUCUGUUGCCUGAUGGCUAGGUAACAUAGUAAGGAUGCAAAAGGUAUAUGUUUGUGUGUCUGGUUAAAUCGGACAGAGACAUCUGAACAGCAGUUUCCUGCAUUUCUUGCAUGAGUCACCCCAACUACUGAGCUGCUGGCCACAUUGGUGCAGGCAAAGGCCUUGCUCAAUGUCAACCUUGUAAAAAUCAGUAUUUUGGCUCCUACAAAAUGGCUUUGGCUUUGAAAUUUGGUGCCUUCCAAUGACAUGCCAUUUCUUGGAACAUUCCCAGUUAACCUGAUUUGCACGUUUUGAAAUUAAGCCCCAAAAUGCUAAGAUGGCACCAAAACAGAGAAAUAUGAAAUUAUCUUGGAAAUCAUUCGUACCUCCCUAUUUGUGUUGCAUGACAAUUAAAUAGCUGAAGGUCGGCUGCAGUCUUAUAGCUGUUAGGUCUGGAUUGCUGUGCGUCACAAGCCUUUUCACAAGAACCUGACAAAUCUCUCUCAUUAAUAACAAAUGACAAUCUCGCUGGUGCUACAAUGCAUGUUACAUUUAAUCAAUUUGCUAUUUGUAUUCAUUAUGUACAUCUCCUAUUUUGAGUCAUGAAAAAUUGAACAGUAAUUACAACAUGGAAGAGCAUCAUGGAUAACAAAUGAGAUAAGACCAGAAAAAGUACUAUUAAUUGGUCAGUUGUGCUUGUCAGUACAUUUAAAGUAAUUAAGGCAGGGAAUGAGAUAAGACAAUUGUAUGCCUUUGAAGUAAAACAGAGUAUCAGAAUACCCACUGGUCAGGUACCCUGGUUAUGACAAAGACUCAAUCAUCUAAACAUGUACGGUGUUAAGACGAGCUUUAAAGAGCUGUUUAACUACAGCUUUUACUUAAAGAAGUCAAAGUAACUUCCUUGAGUGAAAUGCAAUUGUAAUGCCUGGUAGCGUGACCACGCUAUAAAUAAGACUGUCAGCAUCUCCAUUAUAGCCCCCACUGCCAGGGGCUGCUAACUCAUCUCUUCUACAUUUCAACAGCCUCAAAGAGGGCAAACAAAUUAGUGACUCAGAUGUCUAUUUCUGUACUAAAAAAGGAAGAACAAGUUAAACUGUUUUUAACCAAGAGUAUCAAGAUGCUGAUAAAUUUUUAGGAUUUUCCCGUGAAUCAGAGCUUCACAGGAUGGAAAAUAGAAACGGAAGUGGAAGGAACUGUGUCCCUCUAUGAGACUGAGCUAGGCUGAUGCCGUUUUGCACCUUGGUAAGAUCCUGAAAAGUAGAACAGCCACACUAUCUGGAUUUAACAGCUGCUGAGUACUUCUACUGUUGGUUUAUGAGCUUUUUACCAAAUCUGUUAGUCCGCAUUACUUCUGUUGCUGGUAUACGUCAACACAGAAGAACAAAGGGCCACGUCCAGGAACAGUGAAUGUGCCUAAUUUAAUUUUGAACAGAACUUUGAGGAACUUAACGUGUCCACCGACAAUGCAGCAGUCCAGGGAACUCCUAUCCUGAGGUACACAAGUCUCUGGGCUCCAGCGUUUCCUCCAGGAUCAAACUGAGCAGCAUGCUCGUGUUUGGACCCAAUCAGUGCAAGCAGCAAGCACCCCAGGGGCUAGUCCUAGUAAGCACACUGGAUUUGGCUUCUUAAAAAUGGACCUGCUAUGGACCCUACUUCAAAUUAAAAUGUCUAACAUGUAAGAUAGCGCUCAGAAGAGAGUACACCUCGCACCAUGGGCUGCAUCCUGGGCUGAACGCAUCCUUUCCCAGAGUGACUCUGAAUGUAAUAUUAAAAUCUGCCAUCAUUCAUAUCUGUGAAAAGCACAGAGAUAACAGCGUACACUCGCUUCUCUUUCAAAUCAGCAUCAACACGCUGUCUCUCACAUUAAAUAUUGAUCAAACUUCUGAGUCAACAAAUUUCAUGACUGAAGCAAACAGAAGGCAGCACUGGGAUGCCCACUGUCAGGGCCAGUCCCAAGCAACUAUGCUGGACGCUCUUCCAAAGCGCUCCUGCUGCCCUUUCCCUCCCGGAAAGCGUACUGGCAGCAAGCUCUGCUCUCACAGCUCAGCCAUGUGGCCAAGUCAUUGCCGCAUGCUUCCUAGCUCCACACCGCACUGCCUCCUGCCCACUAUCCCAAAGCGACACUGCUAAUACCUAAAAGUGUCGAUAAUGCAGAGGUACCAUAUCUCUUUAAUGAUUGCCUUGCUCCCGGUGUCUUCUCCUGGUUUCUUUGCUGUAAUAAGCAGACAGCUGGCACUAAACACCAGUGGUUUUCCUGGGUAUGAUAAUGAUUUGACAUAAAAGAUAAUGUUAGACACAGUUAGGUAGAGAUGUGACUUGGGCAGUUUCCCUCUUGUCCCAUUUCCUUCUGCUGUCUUUGUCUACAGCAAGCAAAAAUGAGAGAUGAAGUAUUGCUGCUCUCUAUUUUGUUUUAUUUACUAGUGCUGCUGCAUCUGGACAGACAUUGACUGCUGUUUCAUCUGAACGCGCCCAAACAAGGUCCACCAUUAGGAAAUGGAGACAUUUCCACUUUUGCAUUGCAAUCAUUACAUUCCAAGAGUGUGGAGGACAGUUCUGGAGUACAACACAUUAGCCUAUGAUGCAAAAAAAAAAAGUAAAAAUAUGUGUAAUUUAGGCCCCAACAUUUGGAGCUUAGGGUCACAGCCUAGGCUGUUCAGUAAUGUAUUAAAUAGCAGACAGUGUGUCUAACAAUUUGACUAAGCAAAACAUAGGGCUAUGCUUAAAAUACAUUGCUCUCUUUGUUUUCAAAUGACUUAUUCAACUAACUAAAAAAACGCAACAACAAAAAAAAAAAAACAACAAACCCCAAAACCUAAGAAGAAUUUAUUUUAGUAGGUUCAAUAGUUUGUAGGUUGUUGGUUGUUCACCUUAGAGAUGAACUUGUACUGAGUCCUUGUGCAGAUAAUUAAGAAUGUUUCUGUCUCCUUCUAUUGCUGACUGUAAACAGAGAGCAUGGCUGCAAAAACUUACUUUCUAUCCUAAUUCAACAGUUAAAAUAUUUUUAUUUUAAAUAGUUUAACCAAAACUAGAACAGGUUAAAAACAGGGGGAAAAAAGUAAUGGAGAUACUGUUUCUCCACCAACAGUCAAAACUUUCACUCUUUAUUUUCAAAUCCAUACAUUUUGACCAGCUUUGCUCACCAAGAAAACCUGAAAAGCAAGAUAGACUUGUGCCAUUGAGAAGUGUUGAAGAGCACCCUUCAGGUUUCUUGAAAAGCUGACUAUCAAGAAACCAGAGCUUUCUUUAGAAGCAACCAGAGAGUGUGUAUAGACAAACACCUGAGAAGCAUAGCCUAUAAGAAAAACAACAUCUCGUGUCUUUUAAGCAUUGCAUCUAGUACUGUUUUGUAUCAUUAAAAGCUAAGAAUGAGGUUGUUGACAAUGCACCAGUAUGAUUGCAAUACCAUUGUGGUCUUAAUUGGUCAUCAUAAUAGCACACGUCUAAUUUCCAAGUGUGGGUUCAUUUACUGGACAGAACGAUCCCAACUUGUUCAGACCAUUCAAAUCAUGCUUUAAAGUGGCAUGGCUAUGUGCCAGUUGUGCUACCUGGGGACGACUUCUCAAAUUAGAGCUUUACAAUUGAGGCUCCUCAUUAUUCUCCAAAGGGCUGCUUCUGUAAGCUACUACCUGUGUGUGCGUGCAAGGUCACAGCAACAGCUACUUGUUUCUUUUGAGCAAAGCUUGUUCCUGUGAGCUUGCUUGGAAACCCCCAAGCCCGUUAAAAAAUGCCAGCAAUCCAAGCAGCCAGCCAGUUCUUCAAAGGGGUCUCCCAGCAUUGGCAUUACUUGUGUCAUUUGUCCAGGGACAGAACAUUUGUUUCUUGAAACCACCGUAACUCAGCAGUCAAACCAGGUUGCACUGCCUGGACUCCUUCCUGGCACCUCUGCUGCCUGCUUCCACGCCAAGGCUCAACUGCUCCCUGCAUGAGGCUUUCCAAAAACAAACUCCUUUCUGGCAUCUCCCCAAAAAGCCACUCACUCCUAAGCUUUCCCUGACCACUGGGACACCAACAAGGCAGCAGAAACCAGAUUCAGACCUCCUCUGUUAAAAGGAGAUAACAUCUCCUGCCACUUGACACCAGUAUGCAGGUUUAACACUAUCUGUGUUUUCUGACAUGGUUUUUGCUAUUUUAUAGAUAUUCACACGUGUAUUUUAUUUGUGGCUUUUGGUGAAUUUGUAAAAUUUGAAGUGAAGUUAUUUUAAUUUUUCCCUCCUCAGGCUCUGUGGAAGGCUCCUGUGCCAUUCUGCUUGUGUGAGCACCGACAAAUCCAUCCCCUGAGAGACAACUAAUUAGUCACUAGUCACAGGGAGGUUUAAGUCUCAUUCCUAAGGAAGGAGGUAACGUCAUGGUGGCAAAACCUGUCACCUUUGCCUGACCAACCUGAAGGGACAAAGACUGUUACUGCACAGUCCAAUCCCUUUGUGUGACAGGGUAAAGGAUACUGACUUACCUAGGGUGGAAAAUGUAAUAAUGUAAAGAUAUUCAAAGAGAAAUCAUCUCCAAGCAGUGCUAACAUUUUCACAGGCAGCUAUCUCUUCCUGUGCCACAAACGAAUCAGAGUAUCAGCAACUAAGCGAUGGGCAGUUAUUUAAUGAGUUAAUCUCAUUAGGAUAUUUGAACUCUCAGAAGAGGCUCAACCCAUUAGCUGCGUGAGAGCUUUGAAAUGAGCCUUUCAAAAGGACUAUAAGAAUAUAUUAAAAAGUGGUUAAUACGAUGUGGACUUUACCAGGGUUCCCCUCUGGACCAGGCUGGCUGGCAGGAGGAGGAGCACAAGGUCGUUACCCCGAUGAACUUCUCCAAAAGCCCCGCAGCCGCGUAGCUAAUGGGCCCCAGUCAACCCUAGAUCCCAUAAAGUAACAUCACUAACAGUUUGAAUUCCUGUUGUUUCUAAGGGUAACUUUGCUAUUCUGUGCAAUUUCACCUUGCUUCCCAAUUUUGAAUCCUAUAGCUUUACCUGAUCUGGAUAGUUAAACCUGGACUAGUCUUACUUUGUAUGUAAGAGAAAAAAUACCCUAUAAUAAUAGUUUUACAUUAAAGUUACUUAACCUCACAUUCUUCACAGUGAUGACACCUCCUCUAUUCCUUUCCUUUCUUUUAACUUAAAUUUAAUUACCAUAAAUGCAGAUUGUGAUUAACUAAAUUAAGAAGAACAGUAGAGUCUCAUCCAGACCAACAUCAUGUCAUUACUUCGAUUUCAGUGGAAUACCACAGCUUACACCUCUGGAAUUUACAUUGUAUAACUGAUUCCUGCCUUUUAUAUUUACUUGUAUUAGCUUCACUAGAAUUAUUCACCUCAAUAAAGUGAACAGUAUUUGACCCUAUAACAUUAAAUGAAAGGCAUUAAUAGAAAAACCUAGAGAAUAUCUUCCAGCAAUAAUUAAAACUCAGGGCAGAAUAAUUUUUUCUGUCAUCAUAAAUCACAAUGAAAUGUGGAUACCUAAUGUCUGAUUAUUCAGACCCGCUCCAUUAAAGCAGUCAAGAAAUGUCCACCACUUAAUUGCUAAUGCUAAUUGUAUUUAGUCUAUGGGUUUAAAAGCAGUGAUAUGAAAGCUUCAUAUUGUUUAGAGUAUUGUAAAAUGUAACUGUUAAGUAAUGCAUUUUCAAGAGUUUGGGGAAGGAACAUUAUUAAAGUUCAUUUCCAUGCUGCAGCUGCAGGAGUUGGAAUUAUGAAAGUGAAGAAGCUGUAAAAUUGAAAAGGUCAGGAAUGACAUUCAUCUAUUCCAGCUGCCAAAUCAAGGGAAUGUUAACAAAACUAGUCUCUAGUAGAAAAGCUAAUUGUCUACUUGUAUUUUGGCUGCCCCAAUACAUGUACUCUACUGUGGCUAAUCUAUAGGAAAGACCACACUGGAACAGCACAUCAUUUUUUUUAACAGGCCUCUUGUAAACAAAUUAACCUUAUUUCCCUAAAUAUGCAAACUCUAACGAUUCUAUAACCCAAAUCAGUCUACACAGCAGCCAAAUGUUUCAAGUCAGUGUUUAAAGAAAACAGAAUCCGAAUGAAGUUCGUUUACUCCUGGAAGCAGAGUUAGUUUUCAGAGUGCUGGGAGUACAGGGCAAAUUUUAAAUUUUACUCUAAUGUUGUAUUCUUGCAAGCAGCAUUUCUAAAAUGUCUCAUCCCAAGGCAUGUUAACAUAUAACAACACAUUGAAAAGUUUCUGUCACAGACCAGAUCUUUUGUAGAUGACCUGGAUUUAAUGAUCCCACAGUGUGAAGGACCUUCCAGGGUAUCCGGUGCUUAAUCUACCCAGUUUUAUUGCAAGCCCCUCUGGCUAUUUUCUAUCGUUCUUUGGUUUUGUGUUUUCACCCGAUACGCUGCAGGUGUUACCAGAGGUCUACAUGUACAACUUGAACAAGCACACAUAGCUGACACUCACGUGCAGACUGUAUUCCCAUAACGCACAUAUCCACCACCUCAAAUUUUGAUUUGUCCUGUGUAAUGUAAUACAGAUGUCCCAGAAACAAUCCAACUUGACCUAUGACAACAUAAUAUUAGCUCAGUAUGUAGCUUUCUGGGUAACAUUUUAAAAAUCUUUCUGUUACUUGACUUUUUUCCUAUGGAAAAGUAUUGCAGAAGCUAGAAACAAUACUGACAAUUCAUGAAAUAUUCAGGUGUACAGUUGCAAUCCUUUAAUAAAUGGAAGUGACCUUCAAAACAGACAUCCCAAAGAUUAAGAGAACUUCUCAAAAGAUGGCAUUUGUCACUAAUCAAUGACUUGAAGAACUUACACUCUUCCUAGAAAUGAAUACAAAAAAGACCUUUCAGAAUUAUAUCACUUUAAAAGCAAAUAGUUCACAAAACCCAUAUAAAAGAACAUUAAUGAGUUAACAAAACAACAGAACAAAGUAUCAAACAAGCAAAUUGAAAGGAUAAAUCCCCUUGUGCCUAUCAGUACCUAUGUCCAUGUCCAGAGUGCAGGAAAGCCAUCUGCACAUCCACCUACUGUUCACAGGGGUUGGACGAUGCUAUCAGCAUUAACUACACUUCUUUGAUUGCGAUAUUGUACGUCAAAAUAUUUAUAACAUUUUACAAAUGGAUUUCCUUUUUCAUAGUCGCACAGAUACCUUGGCUCUAACUGGGUCACUGUAUUGCAACAGAUGUAAUCUCAGCAGAAUACUGUGAGAAAUCUGGGCUACGUUAAUGACUGAUCCAAUUACAGCGGAAAUCUCUAGAAAACCCAGAUUUAUUAAGAACCAGGAGACAAUUACAAUGUAUUUCUAGGGACAACCAGAUGGACAAGCCAGUCUCAAACUCUUUAAGGGGGCUGGAGCUCAACAAGCAGUGCCUAUGCCAUUACCUACAUAGUUGGAGAAAUUCCCGUUCUGAGGAUAUGAUGAAAAAGCCGGAGACUCGCUGCGGACACCUGGGGGGACUGGAUCUAAAUGCAUUCUAUCCCAGGAAGCAGCAUGGCUUACGCACUUCUGUGAGGACAGGGUGACAGAGGAAAAGCUGUCCAGGAGAGAAUGGCAGAGCAGGAAUCAAGAAACCUCAGGAAACUUUUUGUCCAAGGAGAGUAUUUACACAAAAGAGCUCCUUAUGAUUUAAUAUCAGGUCCUCUUGAAAAGAUACAUUUUUCUCUCCUGAAUAGGAAAUAAAUGCCACCUUCCGAGUAGCAAUCUGAUCCCAUGCUUAAGCAAACCUAGCAAUCUACCACAGAUUUGCACGCAGAAAAAGUGAAUUAAAAAUACUUGAGAAAUGUGAGUAUAGACAGCUCCUUUUACCACCCCAAAGAAAGCUAAAAUUUCACAGCAUCCUCUGUGAUCUCGCUAAGACACUUCAUCAGAGGAACCUGCCCCUGCCUCUAGAAAACUGCAUCUGUGAGUAGUCCGAUUAACGUAAUUUGGAUCUAAGAGGAUGUCUGAAGUUAAACAUUUAGUUAAUUGGGAACUUUGCUCAGCUAAAUAUUUUACCUGAGAACUUAUAUUGAAACAGUAGAAAAUAAUAUUUCUUGUUUAUGGAACUUCCAGCCUGCUCCAAGCCAGUAAAUAUUUACAUUUCAGCCACUCUGAUAGCUAAUGUGACCUUUCUGUUGUACACUUUACACCUGUGCUGUAUUUUACUUUCAUUGUUAACAAUCUUUCUGGUCCCUCUUACAUUAACAAGCAGUAUUUAAAUAUAUGCAAAUUUCAUAUUUUAGCUGAUGUUUUAGGAACAUUUUUAAGGUCACCCUGUUUGAUCUAUCACACAGACAUAGCAAAUUUAUGCACCAUAUAUCCUAUCUCUACUUGUUUUUUACCUACAUCUGUCUUCUCUGAUUGCAUUUGAAUGGGCUUAUUUUCUAUUUUAAAUAAAAGAUUUAUGCCUUAGCUGUCAGUUUGCCUUUAUUUGAAAAUUUAAUUUUGUUUCUAGAAAUCUAGAUUAACUUAUUAGAUUUAACUGUCCCUUAUGCAUUGCAACAAUAGCAGAAGUAUAUUUUCCCUUGUGGCUAGAGUACAUAAACAAAAUGCUCUUGACAAAAAUAAAGAACGUUAUUACUCAGACCAAUACAACACAGUCAGUCCAGGAUACAAAAACUGGUGUUGUCAUUUUUAAUAAUGAUGGUGAGCAGUGGGAACUGACUAAUAAAUAUGAUAACUCACAAAUCCAGGGAGCUCCCAACACCUUGAAAUGCUUUGGAGAAAAGGCAUGUUCUCCCACAGUGCCUCCUACACUCAGGUUGGCAAAUACCCUCUCGUGACACAGCGCCACUGGGACACGACUUGAUUGGUGAUACUCAAGGAUGUAUUUAAAUGAGGCAGAAAUGAGAAUCUGCCCCACUGUUUCGAGUUAGUCAGAGGCCUAUUUAUUGAUUCAGUGUGGUAUUUCACAUCCUCAGUGUGACGUGUUCUUUAGCAUCUCUCAGCAGUGCUACUUGCACAAUACUGUUCCUCAAGCCCUGAAAUUUCAGAGCGUUCCUAAAAGGAUAACCGCCUCAUGGCAGUUGCUGCCUGUGGUCCUCGCAAUGCCCAAAACAGCUGAGUUCUCGGGGUGUGGGAGGGAGGUGUGUGUUGGGGGAAGGGGGGCGCUGGGGACCGUUUAUCUUUUCAAAUGUAUUCACACAUUUUGACUCUUUUUCUCCUUUUUUCAUUUCUAGAAGUACCCGGGCUUCUGAGCAGUUCAGUUAUUUUCCCUUCACGUUGCGACAUCCGCAUAGACCUGGACAGAAUCUGUCUUUAAUCAACCCCUGCACCUCUUAUAAACACUAAAAUCUUACAGCUUGCGAUUCUGCACUCUCAAUAACAUGCACUGCUUUUGAAAGGAAUAAGUGUUCGUGUAUCAAUAAUGUUCAUAGGACCAUCAAGAGGUUGCAGUAUAAUGAUGCCAAGAACAGAGAAAGCAAAAAGCUGAAAGAUAGGUAUUUACACGGCUAUGUUAGUAUACCUUCUGUCACAUCGUGGCAAACUGUAUCCUGAUUCACUUUGUUAAACACUGAACAUCAUGAGCAAAGGUCUUUUGAGGAGAAACAGGAAUUCCUUAUACAAAGAAAACAAAUGCAUGUACAUGAUGGCUUUUACCACUCACAAAAUAUCAGCUGAGAGUUGAAUGGCACGUUAUGACUACAAGGUCCUCUCUUCUCCCAUUCAGGGCAACACAGUAGUUUUUUAAUAUAAGCAAUGAUGAAGAACAGCAUGACCACCAGUAAAAAAAAAAGAAGGCAUUAAGAGAGGCAGAACAGGCCAAAGCUGAAUCUGUUUGUCAGCCUUCAGUCUGUGCCACUCUAUGCAUAAAGUGCUAUCAGAUCCAAGCAGUCACUGCAGUAACUAGUCAAUCUUGACGUCAGCCCCAUAAAAACCGAGUGAAAAUACCACAAAGGACAAUCUCCACAUACACGAUACCAUCAAUACAAAAGUGGAACAUUCCCAAAGUUCUUGGAAAAAAUCUCAUCAUCUCAGAAACACUCUAAGAUACAUAUUCUAGACACAAUCAUGAUUAUGAGCCUCCUGCUGUCAUAUCCAAGUAAAGAAUACACACUCACUGUGUAACAUCACUUUGGCAUGGUAUGAGCACGCUAGUGGAGGUACUGGGCAGGUAACCAUUCAGCAGGGAAGGCCCACAUUUACUUGCUCUCUUGAUAGCAGGUUCCCUUCCUGAGGGGCUCCAGUAAAUUCAUUUCUAUCCCUUCUGCUGUGACAGCAAAAAUUUAUCAAGCAUGUGUUAUGUUAAAUCCUAUACCUAUGACUUUUCAAAGCAUCAUACAAGACAGAAAAUAAAAGGGCAAGACUUGCAAGGAAGUAAACGGUGCACUACACACUUAAAGGUUUCUCCAUCAUGCUUAAGAAGUAGAAUAUAUUAUCAUGACAAUUAUUUUGUUACAGAAAGCACCUUCAAAUACCAAAUCACUUGUACAAACCACUGCACCAACGCAGCUGAAAAGACUGCACCUCCUCCAAAGAUAGUAGUGUCACUUUGAUUUAACAAGUAAUUAAUGAAUAUAUAAACCCUGGACAGAACUUUAAUCUAUCCCAGUGCCAAAUAAUUAAUCAUUCAUUCCACGUUUAAUCCUCUUCUGAUAAAUGUAAUUAAUAUUUCACCAUGGCACUGCAGAAUAGAACAGUACCUGGAAGCAGAGAAAGGCAGCCUUCCAUUUCUCUCUCAUCGUAACUCUGAGGGGAUAGGUGCUGUCUACAACUGACAAGUAAUCCAGAAUACAGUGUUCCCCCGCAGACGUAAAUUAGGGUUUAUGCAUGGCAUACAUUGUGAUUGUAAUGAGGCUUUUCUUCCUCUGACCUGUUAGUAACAAAACAAACCAAACCAAACCCCAACAACUAUGAAAAAUAAGUCACCUGAGCUUGGUCAACCAUUUUUCUGAUCUGACAGCAUUUGGGAAACCAGUACUUGCACUAAUGUCUUCGUUUCUACAAUGUCACUGAACAUAUGCCAGGGCUGUGGCUAGAGAACAAAGCACGUGCAGAUUGUCUGCUUCUGUCCACAGAGAACAGCGCUGUGAGUAAAACCAACUGGAUGCAGAUUUAAGUCCUAAUUUUACUGCAGGAAAACACUGGCAUCUUUUUUUGAAGGCUUGAAGGGUAAUCAAGAAAUGUGUUGAUGUGCACAAAAUUAAAUUGCAGGAAACUCUAUGUUGAUUUUUUCUUUCAGGGUGACACGUCUCAGGAAUCCACGUAUUUCAGCAAAGAGUUUUGUGAGGAAGGUUCUGUAACAAACAAAUUGCCUUGGGAUCCUGCUGCCCAAUUACUCAGAAACAGAGAGGCGUCCAUUCACAGUUGUCUCUUUGCUCAGCAUUCUCAGUGUGGCCAUGAAGAUUUUUCUCUACACUAUUAUAAUUUCUUCUCAUUCAAAUGCAGAUGACCCCCUCCCUUCCCCCCAACCCCCAUUGAUUGAUAAUGCCAAUUGCCCUGACAAAUUUUUAAAGUCCUUACAAGAAAUACACCUUGUGGCACAAAACUUUCCCAGAGUCACAUACUGACGUCAGACAAAGGCAGCUGUAAUUUCUCCCCUUCCUAAGAUCCUGUAUUAUGCUACUAUCCUAUCUAUCAUUAAUCUAGUCCUCCAUUAUGUCCCAAAUCAGUAAGGAGGCAACUUUCAUCUGGGGCUCUCUGGUGGAGUAAGAUCAAAUAGAGCCACGUAGAACCAGGCAGUUUUAAUUUUGGGACCUGUCAGACCUAUUUUAUAUGCAAACUAAUUUGCACACCUGCAAACCGCUUAUCUGUGGUGACUGACAUCUGUAACAUCUAGAUGGCAAUUCUAGCCAGUUCUGCUGUACAGCAUUUUCACAUUUAGAGAGAACUUUAAUUUAGGAUCACGGUUUUAUCAUCUGGGAUUAAUUCAAAAUACUUUGUUUUCCAUUAGCUCCAAAUAUUCUAAAAAUGUACUUAACUUCUUGCUACUUGAAUAGAAUCUAAAAUGGUUAUAACCUGAGUCAUACCCCUUCUCAGAGCACUUCUCAAUGCUAAAGUAAGACCUAAAUACCUAGUAAGUGCGAGUUUUAGGUUCAUAAGAAACAACUGACCUGAUUAGAAGCAAUGGAUCAUUGAGGCAAGUAUCCUGCUUCUGACGGUAGCCAGUAACAGAAGCUUCAAAGGAACACUCCCGUCCACAAUAAAGUCUAAACAAUAGGAGGUUUUAUUUAUUGUGUUUCUUGAUUGAGUCAACAGUUCUGCGCAGGAGACACCUUAAGAGAUGACUGUAUAUGCCACAUCUUUAACUACUGCUUGCAGCAGUGGAUGAUAUUUAUACCCUUGUACCAAUAGUCACAUGGACUUGUUGGCCAGCUGCUGCACUGUCACCUCAUUUCUGAAUCCCACAAGGAAGCCUUUUCCAUAUUCAUGAACACUACAUUCAUUUCUAAGAUCCUGGAAACUCUCACUGAAUCUAUGAGUUAUAAUCCAAUUGAUUUUUUUAUCACUUAAGAUCAACAAAGCCUUAAUUCACUGUAGAAAGUGUCGUGUGGUGUUUCAUAUACAUACUCACACAUGACAUUAUUACAUCUUUGCUAUUACAUGUGGAUUUUAUUUCUAUUCAUUCAUUCUAAUUAUUUAAAAUUGGGGGAAGAUUAAAUUAUUGAUAGAUGUGAAUAUACCAUUCUAUGUCAGAUUUUGUGAGAUUGCAUUAUGAAGACUAUCUCUUGUAGGAAAAACAUUUCUGCUUUACAAGAAAACCAAUGUUAAAUUGAAAUGGUAGCUAUCAGCCAAGGUUAGACCCAUUCAUGCUAAUAUGACCUUCAAUUAGUGAAGCACACAUGUCUCAAGAACAAGCCAUUUUAUCAGACACACAGUCUAGGAUGAGGAAAUGUUGGUAUCCUCGAAAAAUUCUACUUUGAGGUGACCUUCUACUUAGCCAGGCUCAUUAGGCAAAACAAAAAUAAUCAUGCAGCUUCUUCCUGGUCUCUCUUUAGAAGGUUUUCAGGAAACCUCAAAUUACAAAUAAUGAUUUAACCCCGAAUUCGUGCUAAUACAUAGCAGCUUACACAGUUAACACAUUCAUUCUGCACAGUUCCCCAGAGACACUGUUUUACAGUGUUUUCUUUUACUUAGUAGGAACAGCUAUUGGCUUUUACUUAGAAAACACUACAAAUCCACUUGGGUCUAGAUUUUUUAAAUAGUAAAUACCAUUGUGACAUCCCUAAAUCAGCAAAGAAGAACUCAGCAGUACCUCCUAUUUUCAGCCACAUUUUCAGGGCACAGUAGUUUUCUCACAGAGGUGCUCAAAUGGCAGCGAAGCUGUUCUGGAAACCUGGCUAACUUCAGUGCUUAAGUAGCUGAAUCAUGAGACACUUCUCAUCCAGAAAUAUAGCACCUUUGACACAACAAACAAGUAAAUAUAUAUAUACUCCAUUUGUAAGCUCUGACAUGUUCAAACAAGUUUGUGGCUGCUAAACAAAUAUUUACCCUAGCCAAAAAGAAAAUGAAUGAGAUUAUCAUACGGCAUUUUCUCCAAUUAUUACAUAAGCCCUUUCAGCAACAUGCUGUAGGCAACAAAGGAGUUACAUACAAUGUCGUAUUCCUUUUAAGUUACCUAUUAGAAUACAGAGAAUUAAAUUAGAGAGAGAUGCUUAAGCAGCUAAGUAGAAAAAGUGAAUGCAGGUAAGAGAUCUUAAGGAAACAAGUGGAAGGCUGACUAUUAGGAAGCAACCACCAGGGCUAAGAACAGAGCAAACUUCAUGAGACUGAAGAGGGUGUUAAAUCAUCCUCAAACUCAGCACUGAAAGAGAGAAGAACUGGCUGAACAAUGGAGAGCUUCCCAGAAAAGAUCAAAGAGCUGGCAGGGAUGGAAGGGGAUGCAUAGGGAGAGACAGCUGGUAUAUGUUGCCAUUGCUUACUGAAGUCAGCUGAGAAAUAAGAACUUACAUUAUAGAAAAGGAUUUGGCUGUGCAAACCUAAUAGGUAGGAUGGGAUAAUGGACUGAUACAGUCAGAUCACGUUGUAUUCUUAGUACAGAAGACAGAAUCUAAAAUAAACUUUGUUGUACAAUA